rnacentral:rRNA from 1 species
AGUGGCUCAGGACGAACGCUGGCGGCGUGCUUAACACAUGCAAGUCGAACGGUGACGGAGAGCUUGCUCUCCUGAUCAGUGGCGAACGGGUGAGUAACACGUGGGCAACCUGCCCCAGACUUCGGGAUAACGCUUCGAAAGAGGUGCUAAUACCGAAUACGAACCUCCCUGGCAUCUGGGAGGUUGGAAAGUUUUUCGGUCUGGGAUGGGCCCGCGGCCUAUCAGCUUGUUGGUGAGGUAACGGCUCACCAAGGCGACGACGGGUAGCCGGCCUGAGAGGGCGACCGGCCACACUGGGACUGAGACACGGCCCAGACUCCUACGGGAGGCAGCAGUGGGGAAUAUUGCGCAAUGGGCGAAAGCCUGACGCAGCAACGCCGCGUGAGGGAUGACGGCCUUCGGGUUGUAAACCUCUUUCAGCAGGGAAGAAGCGAAAGUGACGGUACCUGCAGAAGAAGCACCGGCUAACUACGUG